CAGCCGCCACGGUAAUACGAAGGGUGCAAGCGUUAAUCGGAAUUACUGGGCGUAAAGCGUGCGUAGGCGGUGAGUUAAGUCUGCUGUGAAAUCCCCGGGCUCAACCUGGGAAUGGCAGUGGAUACUGGCUCGCUAGAGUGUGUCAGAGGAUGGUGGAAUUCCCGGUGUAGCGGUGAAAUGCGUAGAGAUCGGGAGGAACAUCAGUGGCGAAGGCGGCCAUCUGGGACAACACUGACGCUGAGGCACGAAAGCGUGGGGAGCAAACAGGAUUAGAUACCCCCGUAGUCCCUGUCUCUUAUAA
rnacentral:rRNA from 1 species